AAACAUACAUGCAUGCAUAUUGGGACCAGGGAAGACACUUAGAGAUCCAAAGUUACAAUGUGUGGUUGGGUUAAUUGCAAUGAAAAUGUUAGUGAAAUUCUCAAUUGGCUUCUAUCAGUUGUAACCCUAUUAUGAAUGUGUUUUCCUGUGUACAAUGUGUGAUUAAAAGUAAGAGCCUAAGGCUUUAUAAUGCAUACUCCUUUUUAUUGCUUAAGUUUAAAUUUAACAAUAUUAACUAUAGUUGAAAAAUCUGUAUUUUUCAUCUGUUUUAUUUAUCCUUCCAUGGAUGGGCACUUGUUGUUUAACCUACAUGUACAUUAUUGUUAUGUUAGUUUAGUAAAGUAUGAAUUAAUAAUGGAUUAAACCCAGAUUUGUGUUAAAUAUAGCCUCCUUUUGUUGUGCUUGAUAUCCUAUUAUUUUUUUUUAUAUAUUAAGAUAAGUAAGUUAACACUUAUAGACAUACUCCAACAAAUAUAAUAUUUUUUAAAACCAGUAUAUAUUUUAAAUGGAGUGUUUGAAAGAGAGAGUCGAAAAAACAAUGCACAAAACCAGACAAAUUGAAACAAAUGCAUGACACAAGUGUGUUUAAAAACAAAAGGAAUGUUUCUCUGUUUACGAGUUAUUGUAUGGACUACAAACACAAUACAAACCCUCUUAAAACCCAGGUUAUAUCAGGUGUUAAGAGUCAGCAUACACUGCUUGUAUAUGAUUUAUAGUUCAUAACUGUCUGUCAUUCUGUACCUCUGUCAAACCUUGUAAAUUAGCCAUACUUGGUAUAGAAUAAAGAUUAUUUGUACACAAUGAUUUUCAAUGUAUAGUUUCACACUAUAUAUAUAUGAAAAUAACUUUGUAUAAUUUUCAUAUUUCUGUUUCCUGAAAACUAGUAACGAUUACCAGUAUAGUUGUAUAGUUCUAAGCAUUUUGUCAAACAUCUGAACUUGUAAUAAUAUUCCCUGAACAUUUUUAUACAGGAUUGUGGUUAAAACUCUUAAAAUAUAAAUAUUUCUGUAACAAUUUUAAACGUAAUAACAAUUAACCACUUCAUGAUAUCCAUUACCAAAAGUGUUGUAUAGUCUGAUUAAAACCACAGAAUUUACUUUGCUUUUCAGAUACUAGUGAAGAAAUAAAGAAACAAGAGUAGACACCAUUUGACCAACUGUGCUUACAGUACUUGUGCAACAGUUGUGAUUGAUGUCCAUAUUACAUUGUAGUAUGAUAAUACUUUACAGCAUCGACAGAAUUAUCAUCUUGGUCGUCAAUGCCUCUCAUUUCAUAAUAAAUUGCAUUUGUUAUUUAGGUUGUAUGAUUUUCUAAAACGACUUUUUUGUUAUUAAUGGAGUAGAAUGUUGAAAAAACAAAUGACAAAGAAAAUUGCUGAAUAAAGGCCACAAGUUCUUUUUUAUUGUUUUAAAUAAAAAUUAGUAUGGUGUUUGACUGAAUUAAAAAAGAUAUUUCUUAUUUAUUUCCAGUACAUUAAAAAGCACUUUAUCACACAAUCAGUGGCAGAUCCAGAAAUUUUCAUAAGUUAGGGCCCACUGACUGCCUAAGAGGGGGUCCAGCUCACUCCAGUCAUGCUUCAGUGAUUCCCUAUAUAAUCCACCAAUUUUGUUUCCAUAAAAGGAGGGGGCUGGGCCCCCCGCCCCCCUAAACCCACCUCUGACAAUACCAUGAAAAUAAAUUUGCUGUAGCUAUUUGUUGUAUUUUGUUUUCAUUGUGUAUUUCUGACAUAAAACCCUCAUUUUUACUAUAUAUAU
rnacentral:lncRNA from 1 species